GUGCUCGCUUCAGCAAGACAUAUACUGAAAUUAGAAUGACACAGAGAUUAGCAUGGCCCCUGUGCAAGGAUGACACGCCAAUUUGUGAAGCAUUCCAUAUUAAU
rnacentral:snRNA from 1 species